GACGAAGGAUGCAAGCGUUAUCCGGAUUCAUUGGGCGUAAAGGGUGCGUAGGCGGCGCGGUAAGUCGGGUGUGAAAUCUCGGGGCUUAACUCCGAAACUGCAUUCGAUACUGCCGUGCUUGAGGACUGGAGAGGAGACUGGAAUUUACGGUGUAGCGGUGAAAUGCGUAGAUAUCGUAAGGAAGACCAGUGGCGAAGGCGGGUCUCUGGACAGUUCCUGACGCUGAGGCACGAAGGCCAGGGGAGCAAACGGG
rnacentral:rRNA from 1 species